GUAGGUGGCAAGCGUUGUCCGGAAUUAUUGGGCGUAAAGCGCGCGCAGGCGGUUCUUUAAGUCUGAUGUGAAAGCCCACGGCUCAACCGUGGAGGGUCAUUGGAAACUGGAGAACUUGAGUACAGAAGAGGAAAGCGGAAUUCCACGUGUAGCGGUGAAAUGCGUAGAGAUGCGGAGGAACACCAGUGGCGAAGGCGGCUUUCUGGUCUGUAACUGACGCUGAGGCGCGAAAGCGUGGGGAGCAAACAGGGAUUAGAUACCCUGGUAGUCCACGCCGUAAACGAUGAGUGCUAAGUGUUAGGGGGUUUCCCGCCCCUUAGUGCUGCAGCUAACGCAUUAAGCACUCCGCCUGGGGAGUACGGCCGCAAGGCUG
rnacentral:rRNA from 1 species